rnacentral:rRNA from 1 species
CUUGCUUCUCUUGAGAGCGGCGGACGGGUGAGUAAUGCCUAGGAAUCUGCCUGGUAGUGGGGGAUAACGUCCGGAAACGGACGCUAAUACCGCAUACGUCCUACGGGAGAAAGCAGGGGACCUUCGGGCCUUGCGCUAUCAGAUGAGCCUAGGUCGGAUUAGCUAGUUGGUGGGGUAAUGGCUCACCAAGGCGACGAUCCGUAACUGGUCUGAGAGGAUGAUCAGUCACACUGGAACUGAGACACGGUCCAGACUCCUACGGGAGGCAGCAGUGGGGAAUAUUGGACAAUGGGCGAAAGCCUGAUUCAGCCAUGCCGCGUGUGUGAAGAAGGUCUUCGGAUUGUAAAGCACUUUAAGUUGGGAGGAAGGGCAGUAAAUUAAUACUUUGCUGUUUUGACGUUACCGACAGAAUAAGCACCGGCUAACUCUGUGCCAGCAGCCGCGGUAAUACAGAGGGUGCAAGCGUUAAUCGGAAUUACUGGGCGUAAAGCGCGCGUAGGUGGUUCGUUAAGUUGGAUGUGAAAUCCCCGGGCUCAACCUGGGAACUGCAUUCAAAACUGACGAGCUAGAGUAUGGUAGAGGGUGGUGGAAUUUCCUGUGUAGCGGUGAAAUGCGUAGAUAUAGGAAGGAACACCAGUGGCGAAGGCGACCACCUGGACUGAUACUGACACUG